rnacentral:rRNA from 1 species
AUCCUCAGCUGCCAAGAAAAGCCUCUAGCGAGCGCAUACAUGGCCCGUACCCCAAACCAACACAGGUGGUCAGGUAGAGAAUACCAAGGCGUACGAGAUAACUAUGGUUAAGGAACUCGGCAAAAUGCCCCCGUAACUUCGGGAGAAGGGGGGCCGGCUUACCGUGAACAGCCUUGCGCUGCGAGCGGGAACCGGCCGCAGAAACCAGUGGGAAGCGACUGUUUACUAAAAACACAGGUCCGUGCGAAGUCGCAAGACGAUGUAUACGGACUGACGCCUGCCCGGUGCUGGAAGGUUAAGAGGACCCGUUAACUCGUAAGGGUGAAGCGGAGAAUUUAAGCCCCAGUAAACGGCGGUGGUAACUAUAACCAUCCUAAGGUAGCGAAAUUCCUUGUCGGGUAAGUUCCGACCUGCACGAAUGGCGUAACGACUUCUCAACUGUCUCAACCAUAGACUCGGCGAAAUUGCACUACGAGUAAAGAUGCUCGUUACGCGCGGCAGGACGAAAAGACCCCGGGACCUUCACUACAACUUGGUAUUGGUGUUCGGUACGGUUUGUGUAGGAUAGGUGGGAGACUGUGAAACUCCAACGCUAGUUGGGGCGGAGUCGUUGUUGAAAUACCACUCUGAUCGUAUUGGAUACCUAACCUCGAACCCUUAUCGGGUUCAGGGACAGUGCCUGGCGGGUAGUUUAACUGGGGCGGUUGCCUCCUAAAAUGUAACGGAGGCGCCCAAAGGUUCCCUCAACCUGGACGGCAAUCAGGUGUUGAG